rnacentral:lncRNA from 1 species
AGAUCAGAGAGGACGUUCUCCUAGGCCAGAAGACAGGAAGUGGUAAUCAAGGGUUGUACGCUGGAGGGGUUAUGGGCCAAACGUGGAAUUUCUAUCCAUCACUUCUACCCACUCUGGGUAUUUACGUGGCCAGCAUCCAGUCAUGUGGCUGCACCUACCUGCAAGAGGGGCUGGGAAGCCCAGCCCAGUGCUUGCCCAGGAGGAAGAGCUCUUCCUAAAAGGCACGGUUAUCCUACAAAGUCAUGAAAUCAUGAGACACUGGAGUGAGGCUUAGACUCCAUCCCUUCCACUGGCAAAAGCUUCAUGAGAGUGGCUCCAUCAUCACUAACCCUUCACCUCUGUCCCCAACUCAGUCACUCUCUGCCCAGUGUUCUCAGAUCUCCAGUCAGCCCUCUGAACUCCCAAAGUCUUCAAACUUGCUUCAGGCCCAUGAAAUGCUUUUAAUGGAUCACUGAACUCAGCACUUAGGAACCAGUGUUUGUUAAAAAGAGCGAAACAGAAGAAAACUCAUGCUGAAAAACGACAAAAAUCUCCUUCCCUUUACCUGAGUCCUUAUCUCUAUCUGUUGAAAGUUCUGUCUCCUGUUUAAACAGCAGAGUUCUCCAAUUUUAGUACGCGCCAAAAUUACCAGAAAAAAAACCACAGCGAGAUACCAACUCACAUCUACGAGGAUGGUUAUGAUCAAAAAUAGGGAAAAUAACAAGUGUUGGUGAAGAUGGGGAGAGCAGCCUCAUGCAUAAGAAUGUAAAAUGAUGCAGCUGGCAGCAGACAUUUUGGCAUUCCUCUCAGAGUCAAACAUAAAAUUAUCUUUUGACCCAGCAAUUCCAUUACUAGGUAUACACACCAAAAAAUUGAAAACUGGGAUUUGAACAGAUACUCCAAGACCAACAUUCAUAGCAGCAUUAUUCACAAGUGCCAAAGGUGGCGUGGCUGUCCAUCAACAGAAGAAUCAAUGGGUAAACAGUAUGUGAUAUAGUCAUGCAGUGGAAUAUUAUUCAGCCAUAAAAAGGGAUGCAGUUAACGAUACAUGGUACAACAUGGAUGAAAGUGAAAAAUAUUUAUGCUCGAUGAAACAAGCCAGACACAAAAAAAGGCACAUAGUAUAUGAUUCUAUUUAUAUGAACUAUCUAGAAUAGACUAAUUCCCAGUGACAGAGAGUCGUUUAGGGGUUAUCAGAGGCUAUGGGGAAGGAGGAAUUAUUGCUUAAUGGGUACAAGAGAUUCUGUUUGGAUAGGAAAGUUUUGGAAGCAGAGAGUGGUGAUGACUGCACAACAGGGUUGAUGUGAUUAAUGCCUGCUGCUGGAUUAUACAUUUUAAAAUGGUUUAAAUGGCAUAUUUUACAUUACAUAUAUUUUACCACAAUUUUUUGAGAAAUUACCUAAAGAGGUUGCUGAAACGCAGAUUCCUGGAACCCGCUCCCAGACCUGAAUCACCAAGUCCACGGUAGGUGCCACGGUGCGCCUUUUUAACCAGGUCUUGUAUUCCUAGAACUUUAAUCGCCGCUGGUAUUUUCGUUGUAAACAUCUUUCCUCGAAAGCGGUUUCCGCAAAACUUGGCCGUAAAGCGCUUCUGCCGUAAACGGUAAAAUAACCGAUCAGUUUGGUUUCAAUGCCGUAAAAGAUAACGUAAAAGAGGCUGCUAGUAAUUCACCAGAGCCUUCCAGAGCGUUUAUCAAUUCUUUAGCUAAUUUAGGUACGGCGGCUUGUUCUCUAUCUCCUCUUUACUGAAUUUAUUAUGCAGUAUUUGAAGUUGGAGGCAAAAGAACAAUCAAGCCCUUCCUAUUCCCCCGAAAUAAAUGGCAGCAUGAUUCCUGAUGAGUUUAAGUUUCUUGAAAAUGGUGAAAAGUUGUUAUUAUUUGAUAGUGGAGAACGUAAUGGAGACAGAAUUUUGGUAUUUGGCACAGAAUCUGGCUCAGAGGAUUUGGUGAAAUAUAAGGACUAGGCAUGUGAUGGAGUUUUGAUUUAUGUAGUUUUUGGUGAGGUUUGUUUAUUUGUUUGUUUUGUUUUGUUUUGUCUUUUUAGGGCCGCAGCCGUGGCAUAUGGAGGUUCCCAGGAAGGAUCUAAUUGGAACUGUCACUGCCGGCCACAGCCACAGGCACAGCAACGCCAGAUCCUUAACCCACUGAGCGAGGCCAGGGAUCGAACCUUCAACCUCAUGGUUCCUAGUCGGAUUCAUUUCCACUGUGCAACGAUGGGAACUCCGAUGGAGUUUUUAAAUGUAGUCCAGAGAGUUACUUCCAGUUAUAUAGGUCACACAUACUGAUAAGAAAUAAUAGCAACCCUUAUCUAUUUGUUUUACUUCCAAGGAAAUCUGAAGAGACUUAUAGCAGAUUUUUUUAAUAUAUUGUAAAAAACUUAUAGUCUGACAUUAAAGGCUGAACUUUUAAAAAACAACUCUGAGAAAGGAAGUAUCAUUGCUUUCUCGAAGACAUUCCCAGAUACAACUAUAAUCAUAAAUCUACACACAUUUCAAAUGUAUUCAUGGGGGAGGGGGAAGGAGUGGGAUGGACUAGGAUUCUGGUGUUAAUAGAUGCAAACUAUUGCAUUUGGAGUGGAUAAGCAAUGAGAUCCUGUCACUAGUCACUUAUGAUGGAACAUGACGGAGGAUAAAAUAAGAAAAAGGAUGUAUAUAUGUGUGUGUGUGUGUGUGUGUGUGUGUGUGAUUGGGUCACUGCUGUACAGUAGAAAUUGACAGAACACUGUAAACCGACUAUAAUGGAAAAAAUAAAAAUCAUUUUAAAAUGCCCCCCCAAAAUAAGUAAAAUAAAAUG